rnacentral:rRNA from 1 species
UUCCGGUUGAUCCCGCCGGACCUUACUGCUAUCGGGAUGAGAUUAAGCCAUGCAAGUCGUGCGCUCUCAAGCUAUGUUGAGGGCGCGGCGAACGGCUCCGUAACACGUAGUUAACCUACCCUCGGGAUGGGGAUAACCCCGGGAAACUGGGAUUAAUACCCACUAGAUGAUUAUACCUGGAAUGGCUCAUCAUCGAAAGAGUCUGGAAACAUGCUUCCAGCGUCGCCCGAGGAUGGGACUGCGUCCGAUCAGGUUGUUGGCGGGGUAACGGCCCACCAAGCCUAUAACCGGUACGGGCCCUGAGAGGGGGAGCCCGGAGAUGGAAACUGAGAAAAGGUUCCAGGCCCUACGGGGUGCAGCAGGCGCGAAACCUCCACAAUGCGCGAAAGCGUGAUGGGGUUAUCCCGAGUGCCGUCCGAUGAGGAUGGCUUUUCAUCGGUGUAAGGAUCCGAUGGAAUAAAGGGGGGGCAAGACUGGUGUCAGCCGCCGCGGUAAUACCAGCCCCCUGAGUGGUAAGGACGAUUAUUUGGCCUAAAGCGUCCGUAGCCGGCUUAACAAGUCCUUUGUUAAAUCCAACGAUUCAAUCGUUGGGCCGCAAAAGAUACUGUUAUGCUAGAGGACGGGAGAGGUCGACGGUAGUCCAGGGGUAGGGGUGAAAUCCUAUAAUCCUUGGAGGACCACCAGUGGCGAAAGCGGUCGACUAGAACGUGCCUGACGGUGAGGGACGAAAGCUGGGGGAGCGAACCGGAUUAGAUACCCGGGUAGUCCCAGCUGUAAACGAUGCGGGCUAGGGUGUUGGGGCAGCCACGAGCUGCCCCAGUGCCGCAGAGAAGUUGUUAAGCCCGCCGCCUGGGGAGUACGGCCGCAAGGCUGAACUUAAAGGAAAUUGGCGGGGGAGCACCACAAGGGUGAAGGCUGCGGUUUAAUUGGAGUCAACGCCGGA